rnacentral:lncRNA from 13 species
AUGGCCAAUUUCCCUCUGUACAUCACUGCUUCCUACGAGGGCUACAUGGUGUGUGUAGCCAGCGUCCAGAACAACACAGUAAUACAACCCACCGUCAGUCAAAGACACCACCUCAGAGUAGUCGACCCAGUCAAUGGUGCAGAGGUUGUAGUCCAAUCAGGGUCUGUGGAGUUCUACGAAGGGAAGCCACUGUCCCUACGUUGUAACAUCUCCAAAGGGAACCACGUCUCCUACCAGUGGCUGGUGGAUGAGAAGCCCCUCCCCCUGUCUCCUUUACGCAAUCAGACACAGGAACAACUCUUCAUCUACAGGUACUGUAUUGUGGAUGGUCCGUUAUUACUGGUCUGUCUGGUCUGUCUGUCUUGUGUUUGUCUUUCAGAGGUUCAUUUGUGCCCACCUGAAGAUGCAUCUUAGAUCAGGGGUGCAUUGGAUAUGCAAACAACUGAAGAGAACUUAUAUAUUUAUUGACAAAUACACCAUUCCAGUCACAUAGAUCUUCGUCAAUUUUGUAUUAUUUAGCUUCUUAUAUGUAAAAACUCACUGGAAAUAGUGUUGACAAUAUCUGUAUUUGUAUGCACUACUACAGGAUGGUGCCCCAGGACAGCGGGGAGUACACCUGUGUUGCUACCAACCAACUCAACAUCACCAAGGUCUACUCCUCCAGGAGCACUGCCAAGGUCAUCAAGGUCAAAGGUCAGAGGUCAGGGGGUCAUUUGUAUCACAUAAUUAUGGAGGAGGGUGAAGUUGCCCCUAGAUGCUGAUCUUGAGUCAGUUUAGCAUUUUCCGUGUAACGGAUGUGAAACGGCUAGCUUAGUUAGCGUGGGCGCUAAAUAGCGUUUCAAUCAGUGACGUCACUUGCUCUGAGACCUUGAAGUAGUAGUUCCCCUUGCUCUGCAAGAGCCGCGGCUUUUGUGGAGCGAUGGGUAACGAUGCGACUGUUGAUGUGUGCAGAAGGUCCCUAGUUCGCGCCCGGGUAUGGGCGAGGGGACGGUCUAAAUUUGUACUGUUGCAUUGAUGCUGUUGACCCGGAUUACUGGUUGCUGCGGAAAAAGGAGGAAGGUCAAAAGGGGGGUGAGUGUAACGGAUGUGAAACGGCUAGCUUAGUUAGCGUGGGCGCUAAAUAGCGUUUCAAUCAGUGACGUCACUUGCUCUGAGACCUUGAAGUAGUAGUUCCCCUUGCUCUGCAAGAGCCGCGGCUUUUGUGGCGCGAUGGGUAACGAUGCUUCGAGGGUGACUGUUGAUGUGUGCAGAAGGUCCCUAGUUCGCGCCCGGGUAUGGGCGAGGGGACGGUUUAAAUUUGUACUGUUACAUCCGCACUAAUGCUUAAGGCUUGGGGGAGGGGAAGCUGAUCCUAAAUCUGUACCUAAGGUGUACUCAUAGAGAUAGGGGGCUCUAGUGCCACAAAAAAAAAACGUUUUAACAUGGGCAGCAACAUAGAGGGAUUUCACCAUUUUGAAUUAGCCUUCCUAUGGGUUAAGGAAGGAUCCUAUGACAUCAACAAGGGAUGU